UACCCAUGGAAGCCUUUUGUUUGGGCCA
rnacentral:piRNA from 1 species